rnacentral:rRNA from 1 species
ACCAAGAGACCGGCGCACGGGUGCGUAACGCGUAUGCAAUCUACCUUUUGCAGAGGGAUAGCCAGAGAAAUUUAGGUAUUAAUACCUCAUAGUAUAGUACUUUGGGCAUCAAGGAACUAUUAAAGUCACAACGGCAAAAGAUGAGCAUGCGUCCCAUUAGCUAGUUGGUAAGGUAACGGCUUACCAAGGCUACGAUGGGUAGGGGUCCUGAGAGGGAGAUCCCCCACACUGGUACUGAGACACGGACCAGACUCCUACGGGAGGCAGCAGUGAGGAAUAUUGGACAAUGGGCGCAAGCCUGAUCCAGCCAUGCCGCGUGCAGGAUGACGGUCCUAUGGAUUGUAAACUGCUUUAUACAGGAAGAAACACUCCGACGUGUCGGAGCUUGACGGUACUGUAAGAAUAAGGAUCGGCUAACUCCGUG